rnacentral:rRNA from 1 species
GGCGGCAAGAUAGCCCCUUAGAGGAACCUGCCCUGUAAACGAUGAACCACGAGUACUUUACUUUCUUUAGUAAUUCAGUUUGUAUAUCGCUGUUGUCAGUUAGAUUCUUGAGAAUAUUUUCGAACUUGAUAAAUUCAUUGACUUCAAGUAAAGGUGCAGCUUAUAGGAAAGAUAGAGGUGGGUUACAUUUAUUAGAUUAAUACGGAUUAGAUGAGAGAAUGAGUCUAUGAAGGUGGAUUUAACUGUAAAACUGAUUUAAGUUUGGUGAGAGCUCUAUCUUGUGUACACACCGCCCGUCG